rnacentral:lncRNA from 1 species
ACAUGAUUGAUUUUUCAUUUGAAAUACUCUCAUUUUCUUUUAGUAAAGUUGAUUCUUUGAUUUUAAUUCUUUGUUCUUUACCCUUAGCUUCUUUAGUUCAUCAAUUAGGUCAAAAAAUACUUCAUGAAGUUCUUCAAAGAUAAAGUUAAUAGAAAUUUCAGUAUUUACCUCAUUUUCAUGUGCCAUAAGGUACAAAUUGACUUGUUCAUUUAAGUCUUCUUCUUUGGCAC